UACGUAGGGUGCGAGCGUUAAUCGGAAUUACUGGGCGUAAAGCGUGCGCAGGCGGUUCGUUGUGUCUGCUGUGAAAUCCCCGGGCUCAACCUGGGAAUGGCAGUGGAAACUGGCGAGCUUGAGUGUGGCAGAGGGGGGUGGAAUUCCGCGUGUAGCAGUGAAAUGCGCAGAUAUCAGGAGGAACACCGGUGGCGAAGGCGGGUCUCUGGGCCGAUACUGACGCUGAGGAGCGAAAGCGUGGGGAGCGAACAGG
rnacentral:rRNA from 1 species